ACUAUUUUGGCAGAUUAGUGCAAUAAAUUUAGAAUUUAUUUAUGUAAUUUUAUUUUUACAAAUAGUA
rnacentral:tRNA from 1 species